rnacentral:rRNA from 1 species
UACGUAGGGGGCAAGCGUUGUCCGGAAUCAUUGGGCGUAAAGAGCGUGUAGGCGGUCCGAUAAGUCCGCUCUGAAAGCCCGGGGCUCAACCCCGGGAGGCGGGCGGAUACUGUCGGGCUAGAGUCCGGAAGAGGCAAGUGGAAUUCCUGGUGUAGCGGUGAAAUGCGCAGAUAUCAGGAGGAACACCGAUGGCGAAGGCAGCUUGCUGGGACGGUACUGACGCUGAGACGCGAAAGCGUGGGGAGCAAACAGGG